GUGAGAAGAGCACAGGGAGGGUGGGUGAGUGUGAGAAGAGACCGCUAGGGGAGGGUGGGGGAGAGGAGAGACCACUAAGGUGCAGGGGAGAGCUCUACGGGACAGAAGGGGCAGCUCUAUAGGACAGGGGCCAAGACAGGGAGCUCUUUCACACUACGCGCGCGCACACACACAAUGCAUCCCUAUACAUACACAGAAACACAACAUGCUUCCCUUACACACAGAGAAACACACAAUGCAUCCAUUACACACACACACACAAU